rnacentral:lncRNA from 1 species
AUAAAACAAAUGCACGUGAUUUGAUAUUAUAUAGCUUGGGACCAUUAUACUUGAAGACAAGAAUAAAACAUUCUCUUUCAACAGCAGUGUGCUCAUCAAGAGAUUAUACUCAUAUGCAAAUCAUCAUAUUCAACUAAACCUAUUAAAUAUUUCCUUUGACUACGAUACAUAUACACACACGAAAAUACAAAGCCAGAAAUUAGAUGUUAUACAUAAUAACUGAACAGUAUAUGCUGCAAUCAUUAUCAUAAACCAUACAUACUAAUAUACAAUAAAUCAUGAUUGGUACAUUAAGUCACUCUUGGCCUCGUACAAUAUUGCAUGAUGAUGAAAGUGUAGACGACAUAAAAUCACACCUUCAUCAUCAUCUUGCUAACAUACAAGUACUUACGACCCACUACCAUAAGGUGCAUGUCCCACUAUUACAUAUAUGGUCUACGUAUCGUACGUACUCUUGACGUACAAGAUUUUUUGGCAAAAAAUAACCUCUCAUGACUGCUAGCUUUGUUUCUAGUAAAUUAUAUAUAUAUAUAUAUAUAUAUAUAGAAUAAUUAAAUAAAUUAUGGAGAGUUUAUUCAUGCAGCUGGAGCAUAAUCGUAAUCCCCAUCAUCGUCGUCGCCGUCACCUUCAACGCAUGCUGCCAGGACAUACUCAUAUCCAUCUUCACCCUCAUCAUAUCCAUCUCCAUACUUCUUGCACCAUGAUGAGGGCACAAUGACCUUUGAAAUGAGAGACAUUUUUAGAAUGGCUUAUGGAGAUGGCUAGCAAAGAGAGAGAGCAACUAAAACAAAAACUUGUGAGCUUUUAGUUAUCUGGUGAUUUUUGUCGAGUUUGAAGUGGAAACGAGAGGAGACUUGCUAAUAUAGGAGGAGGGAAGGUGGCUUACAUCGUUUAGGCUCGGGAACACCACGUGAGGAGUGUGGAGAGGUGCAUUAAGUGUGUGACGGACAAAUGCCGAUGCCAGCUGGCACCAUUUGGUCCAACCACAUAGGACUCUCAACGCCAACUCAGCAAGCACAUGUUAAAGUGGUGAGAUGAUGUGUCAUAAAGCACCUCUUAGCGCAUUGAAGGGUCAUAUACAAAUUGC